CAGAAAGUAGUUUAUUUGAAAACAUCAGCUUUGGGAGCUGGAGAGGAAGGUUUGAAUCCUUUUUUUCUGA
rnacentral:tRNA from 1 species